rnacentral:pre_miRNA from 1 species
CUUGUACUCCCUCCGUUACAUAAUUCUUGUCGAAAUAUUACAUGUAUCUAGACGCUUUUUAGGAAUAGAUACAUCCAUUUUUGGACAAAUUUGAGACAAGAAUUAUGGAACGGAGGAAGUAGUUU